GCCAGGUUUGGCACGGUGGUGUGCACCUAUAGUCCCAGCUACUUGGGAGGCUGAGACGGAUGGAUGGCUUGAAUUCAGGAGUUCUGGGCUGUAGUGUGCCAUGCCAAUGUAGUGUCUGCACAAAGUUCAGCAUCAAUAUGGUGAUCUCUCGGGAGAGAGGGACCACCAGUUGCCUAAGGAGAAGUGAACUGGCCCAGGUUGGAAAAGGAACAGAUCAAAACUCCUGUGCUGAUGAGUAGUGGUAUCUCACCUGUGAAUAGCUGCUGCACUCCAGCCUGGGCAAUAUAGUGAGAUCCUGGCU
rnacentral:SRP_RNA from 10 species